CCUAAAUACUAAUACCAGAUCGAUAGUGCACAAGUACCGUGAGGGAAAGGUGAAAAGAACUGAGGUGAUCAGAGUGAAAUAGAACCUGAAACCAUUUGCUUACAAUCAUUCAGAGCCCUAUGUAGCAAUACAGGGUGAUGGACUGCCUUUUGCAUAAUGAGCCUGCGAGUUGUGGUGUCUGGCAAGGUUAAGCAAACGCGAAGCCGUAGCGAAAGCGAGUCUGAAUAGGGCGCUUAGUCAGAUGCUGCAGACCCGAAACGAAGUGAUCUAUCCAUGAGCAAGUUGAAGCUAGUGUAAGAACUAGUGGAGGACUGAACCCAUAGGCGUUGAAAAGCCCCGGGAUGACUUGUGGAUAGGGGUGAAAGGCCAAUCAAACUUCGUGAUAGCUGGUUCUCUCCGAAAUAUAUUUAGGUAUAGCGUUGUGUCGUAAUAUAAGGGGGUAGAGCACUGAAUGGGCUAGGGCAUACACCAAUGUACCAAACCCUAUCAAACUCCGAAUACCUUAUAUGUAAUCACAGCAGUCAGGCGGCGAGUGAUAAAAUCCGUCGUCAAGAGGGAAACAACCCAGACUACCAGCUAAGGUCCCUAAAUCUUACUUAAGUGGAAAACGAUGUGAAGUUACUUAAACAACCAGGAGGUUGGCUUAGAAGCAGCCAUCCUUUAAAGAAAGCGUAAUAGCUCACUGGUCUAGUGAUUUUGCGCGGAAAAUAUAACGGGGCUAAAGUAAGUACCGAAGCUGUAGACUUGCGCACAACUUAGAUUAUUUAAGUUUAGAAUAUGAGAAACUAAGUUAUAUGUUUAGUUAUAUUUUUACUGAUUUUUAUAGAGUAAAGAUAGAAAUAAAACUUAGUAAAAUCAGUAAAAAUAUUCUUAGACUAAAGUUAAGUAGUUUAAGUUGUGUGCAAGUGGUAGGAGAGCGUUCUAUUUGCGUCGAAGGUAUACCGGUAAGGAGUGCUGGAGCGAAUAGAAGUGAGCAUGCAGGCAUGAGUAGCGAUAAUUAAUGUGAGAAUCAUUAACGCCGUAAACCCAAGGUUUCCUACGCGAUGCUCGUCAUCGUAGGGUUAGUCGGGUCCUAAGUCGAGUCCGAAAGGGGUAGACGAUGGCAAAUUGGUUAAUAUUCCAAUACCAACAUUAGUGUGCGAUGGAAGGACGCUUAGGGCUAAGGGGGCUAGCGGAUGGAAGUGCUAGUCUAAGGUCGUAGGAGGUUAUACAGGCAAAUCCGUAUAACAAUACUCCGAGAACUGAAAGGCUUUUUGAAGUCUUCGGAUGGAUAGAAGAACCCCUGAUGCCAUCGAGCCAAGAAAAGUUUCUAAGUUUAGCUAAUGUUGCCCGUACCGUAAACCGACACAGGUGGGUGGGAUGAGUAUUCUAAGGCGCGUGGAAGAACUCUCUUUAAGGAACUCUGCAAAAUAGCACCGUAUCUUCGGUAUAAGGUGUGGUUCGCUUCGUAUUAGGAUUUACUCCGAAAGCGAAGAAACUUACAACAAAGAGUCCCUCCCGACUGUUUACCAAAAACACAGCACUCUGCUAACUCGUAAGAGGAUGUAUAGGGUGUGACGCCUGCCCGGUGCUCGAAGGUUAAUUGAUGGGGUUAGCAUUAGCGAAGCUCUUGAUCGAAGCCCGAGUAAACGGCGGCCGUAACUAUAACGGUCCUAAGGUAGCGAAAUUCCUUGUCGGUUAAAUACCGACCUGCAUGAAUGGCGUAACGAGAUGGGAGCUGUCUCAAAGAGGGAUCCAGUGAAAUUGUAGUGGAGGUGAAAAUUCC
rnacentral:rRNA from 1 species